ACCCGUCUGAUAGCGCUUAAGCG
rnacentral:snRNA from 1 species